UGAAAGCAUUUCAACUCCGAGCGAGUGUCUUCUGACUCUGUUUCCAAUAACAACCAAACACACUUUGGUCUCGUUUUCUUUUCUUCCUCUAAAGUUUUCUCCUUUAUCUUUGCGAUUUUUCCAAAUUCUCGAUUUGAUUCCGAUCAAAUUCGAACUUCUGAACUGAUCUCAUCCAUGCACGCAUUCCUUCUUUGAAGGUUUGUCUAAGACUCUACGAAGUUUAUUCCUGAAUACUUCAAUGCAGAAAAGUACUGGAGGUAUUACAAGCCACUUACUUGAAGGUUUAUGUUGUUAUCUAAGAAGAUGCGUGUUUGCCAUUUUAUCUGUGGGUCCUGUGCCAAAUCAUAUUGCUUUCAUAAUGGACGGGAAUCGAAGGUAUGCAAAGAAGAGAAACUUAGGAGAAGGUGAUGGCCAUAGGGCUGGAUUUGCAGCUCUCUUGUCGAUUCUUAGGUACUGCUAUGAAUUGAGAGUGAGGUAUGUAACUGUCUAUGCAUUCAGCAUUGAUAACUUCAAAAGGAAGCCUAAAGAGGUUGAAACCUUCAUGGAAUUGAUGCGAGAAAAGAUUGAGGAGUUACUUCAACAGGAAAGCAUUAUUAACGAAUAUGGUGUUAGAUUACAUUUCAUUGGAAACUUGCAGCUAUUGGCUGAUCCUGUCAGGCAUGCUGUGGAAAAGGCAAUGCGAGUUACUGCCCACAACAAAGAAAGAGUUCUUUUGAUUUGUGUAGCCUAUACUUCUCGUGAUGAGAUUGUGCAUGCUGUUGAGGAAUCCUGCAAGGAUAAAUGGAAUGAAGUGCAAGCAUCAAAAGAAGCAAAAGUUUCCAAUGAUGCAUUUGCAAGGAUUAAUGAGGGCCAGGAAAGAAAUGGUUUGGAUCUACAUUUUCAAGAUUCUGGCACCAAAAUUUGUAGUAGAAUAGUUGACAGAGUGGAAGGUGGAGUGAAAGAUGGCUUGCUUGAGCAUAAUGCUGAGAAACAUGAUUGUAAUUACAGUGAGGCUGAAAUCACAUCUUGCAAUGGGCUGGUUGAAAUAACUGAAGAGAGAAGGUAUAAGCAGAGUGGGCUUCCUUCUAUAAAACUGGUGGAUGUUGAGAAGCACAUGUACAUGGCAGUGGCACCUGACCCUGACAUUUUGAUCCGCACUUCUGGAGAAGCUCGCCUCAGCAAUUUUCUUCUUUGGCAGACUAGUACCUGCCCUUUGUAUGCACCAAAAGCACUUUGGCCUGAAAUAGGUCUAAGACACCUGGUCUGGGCAGUAUUGAACUUUCAGAGACACCAUUUUUACUUGGAAAAGAAAAAGAAACAGUUCUAAUUGUAACCACUUCAGCCAUAAUUCUUAGUGUAAUUCAUGUGAUGGUAGAUUUCUUUUACUUUUUAGGCCAUUUUAUGUUCUUACAUUUCUUUGUAACAGUUGAGACUACAAGAAUUUAAAGGCCCGUUUGGUGGAGAGGAUCAGGAGAUAAGAUAUUGCUCUCCCCCUUAUUGGCCUUCAACGAUGGCUCGUCCUUCCCGUUUUCCGUCAUCCUCGGUGUGCGUAAACUCUUCUCCGAUAGCAUCUUGUGUAGGUCGCAUCUCUUUCCAUCAAAGAAGGUAUCAAUGAGAUUUCAAGAGUCCCUCACUUUCUAUCUUGUAACGGUGUUGCGACAUCUGUGGAUGUGCAUCUUAUCUUUGUCCUUCCUCUUCCAUACACCCCUUGUGAGUUGUGAACCACCAUUCUUCCCAGAACACUACGAUACACCACCUUAACUUUGAAUCCAACAUCCCCAAACACAUGUACCCACGGAACCCAACUGAUUGAUCUUAUUGUGCAUUUCAGCUUUGCUUUUGAUUUUUUCAUAGUUAUUCAAUUGUGCUUUUUCAUU